UACGUAGGUGGCAAGCGUUGUCCGGAUUUAUUGGGCGUAAAGGGUGUGUAGGCGGUUCUUUAAGUUUGGCGUGAAAUCUCCCGGCUCAACCGGGAGGGUGCGUCGAAUACUGAGGGACUAGAGUACGGGAGAGGAAAGUGGAAUUCCUGGUGUAGCGGUGAAAUGCGUAGAUAUCAGGAGGAACACCGGUGGUGUAGACGGCUUUCUGGACCGUAACUGACGCUGAGACACGAAAGCGUGGGUAGCAAACAGG
rnacentral:rRNA from 1 species